AUCCAGAGUACAUCGAGACACGAGAAACCUUGAUGGAAUGAGCGGGGACCACCCCGUAAGCCUAAAUACUCCUUAGUGACCGAUAGCGCAUAGUACUGUGAAGGAAAGGUGAAAAGGACCCCGGGAGGGGAGUGAAAGAGAACCUGAAACCCUGUGUUUACAAGCUGUGGAACAUCUUUAUAUGAUGAACCGCGUACUUUUUGUAGAACGGUCCGGCGAGUUACGCGUGCCGGCAAGGUUAAGCACUUAAGGUGUGGAGCCGAAGAGAAAUCGAGUCUGAACAGGGCGUUCAGUCAGCACGCGUAGACCCGAAACCGGGUGAUCUACCCAUGUCCAGGUUGAAGUUGCCGUAAAAGGCAAUGGAGGACCGAACGCACAUCCGUUGAAAAGGGUGGCGAUGAGGUGUGGGUAGGGGAGAAAUUCCAAUCGAACCCGGAGAUAGCUGGUUCUCCUCGAAAUAGCUUUAGGGCUAGCCUCAUUUUAGUCUUAUGGAGGUAGAGCACUGAAUUUCCGCGGGGGCGUCAAAGCUUACCAAAGAAUAUCAAACUCCGAAUGCCAUGUAGAUGAUGAAUGGGAGUCAGACUGCACGAGAUAAGUUGGGUGGUCAAAAGGGAAAGAGCCCAGACCUACAGCUAAGGUCCCAAAGUGCGUGUUAAGUGGAAAAGGAUGUGGGAUUUCAAAGACAACCAGGAUGUUGGCUCAGAAGCAGCCAUACAUUCAAAGAGUGCGUAACAGCUCACUGGUCGAGAGGUCCUGCGCCGAAAAUGUCCGGGGCUGAAACACGACACCGAAGCUUAGGAAUCACAUAGUGAUUGGUAGAGGAGCAUUCUUAAAACCGACGAAGCUGUACCGGAAGGAGCAGUGGAGGGAUAAGAAGAGAGAAUGCCGGAAUGAGUAGCGAGAGGAAGGUGGGAAUCCUUCCGGCCGAAUAUCUAAGGUUUCCAGAGUAAAGCUGAUCUGCUCUGGGUAAGUCGGGGCCUAAGGAGAGGUCGAAAGACGUAUCCGAUGGACAACAGGUUUAGAUUCCUGUACCACAUAUAAACAGAACUGUGGGGACGCAUGUGGAAAGCAUAAGCCGGGAAUGGAAAUACCGGUACAAACGGAAGAGGUGUCAGGCUGGCAAAUCCGCCUGGCAAGCCAAAGACGUGAUGUGGAGCGAAAUAAAAGUAGCGAAGUAUGUGAGCCAUGUGCCGAGAAAAGCCGCUAUUGUUUUAUAUGUGCCCGUACCGUAAACCGACACAGGUGGAUGAGGAGAGAAUCCUAAGGCCGACGGAAGAAGCAUUGUUAAGGAACUCGGCAAAAUGACCCCGUAACUUCGGGAGAAGGGGUGCCCACUUCAGGGUGGGCCGCAGAGAAUAGGCUCAAGCAACUGUUUAGCAAAAACACAGGUCUAUGCGAAACCGUAAGGUGAAGUAUAUGGGCUGACGCCUGCCCGGUGCUGGAAGGUUAAGAGGAGAGGUUAGUCGCAAGAUGAAGCUUUGAAUUUAAGCCCCAGUAAACGGCGGCCGUAACUAUAACGGUCCUAAGGUAGCGAAAUUCCUUGUCGGGUAAGUUCCGACCCGCACGAAAGGCGUAAUGAUUUGAGCACUGUCUCGACAAUGCAUCCGGUGAAAUUGAAGUACCAGUGAAGAUGCUGGUUACCCGCGCCAGGACGGAAAGACCCCAUGGAGCUUUACUCCAGUUUGGUACUGGGAUUCGGUACUGCAUGUACAGGAUAGGUGGGAGACUGAGAAAUUGGAACGCCAGUUUCAAUGGAGUCACUGUUGGGAUACCACCCCUGCAGUAUUGGGUUUCUAACCAGCCGCUGUGAUCCAGCGGUGGGACAAUGCCAGGCGGGGAGUUUGACUGGGGCGGUCGCCUCCGAAAGGGUAUCGGAGGCGCUCAAAGGUUCCCUCAGAAUGGUCGGAAACCAUUUUAAGAGUGCAAAGGCAGAAGGGAGCUUGACUGCGACACCGACGGGUGGAGCAGGUACGAAAGUAGGACUUAGUGAUCCGGUGGCAUAAAGUGGGAUUGCCAUCGCUCAACGGAUAAAAGCUACCCUGGGGAUAACAGGCUUAUCACUCCCAAGAGUUCACAUCGACGGAGUGGUUUGGCACCUCGAUGUCGGCUCAUCGCAUCCUGGGGCUGU
rnacentral:rRNA from 1 species